ACACGUGUUCCGGUUCCGGGUCUGUUGCGCGAUGCGUGGUCUGGCGGCAGUCGCGGGGCGGGAGCGGGGAGCGGCAAAAGCGGGGAAAGCACCCAGAAUGAAGGCGACGGAGAAAGUGUCUAAAGUGACCAAAGCGGGUAAAAUGACAAAACCCAAGCGGACGGCGAGGCGGCUCCUGGCAGUGGCGAAUCAGGCGGCGGCUGCCGAGGCAGCGCGACGCGCCCGCCACCUGAAGGCGCUGAGCUGCAUGUCGGGCGCCGAGCGGGAGCUGGAGGAGCUGGUAUUCGGCGACAGCCUCAAUGGGGAGGAGGACGAGCUGCUGCGGCGCCUGGCCGGCCCUCGACGGGUUACUGCUGCAGAAGGGAAAGGCCUCCAGGAAGAGUCCAGCAAUGCGGGGGUGGAAAAUGAAGCGAAACUUGACUUACUGCUCAAAAAUCCGGCCUGGAUAGAUGAGGAUGAUGAAGCUGAGGAAAAUGUUGAUAUGACCCAUAAGUACAGGAAAGAUUUAAUGAAAAGUGGUGCCGAGACAACGCUUACUAAGAAAAAACUAAAGAAAAGACUUGAGGAACAGUUUCAGCAAGCCAUGGGAGGAGUUCCUGCCUGGGCUGAUCUAGAAAAGAGGAAGAAAUCCAGAAGGACUUUGAGUGAUAGUGACAGUGAUGAAGAUGAUGAUCUGCUACGCAGCACUGGCAAUUUCAUAACGAGCUCAGAGUCUCUGCCAAGAGGGAUUUUGAAGAUGAGGACCUGCCUUCCUGCAAACCAGGAACGUUUUGCCAACGGAAAACUGGUGACAGUGCAGUUUCAUCCUUCAGCUCAAGUGGUGAUGACAGCUGGGCAUGAUCGCUCUGUGUCCCUCUUCCAGGUGGAUGGUAUAAGGAACCCAAAAAUACAGAGCAUCUAUUUAGAGAGUUUUCCAAUUUAUAAGGCUCAUUUCAGUGUGGAUGGAGAACAAGUUAUAGCCACUGGUACUCACCACAGCAUGUUCUUUGUGUAUGACAUGAUGGCUGGGAGUAUUACCCCUAUCCCAAAAGUACGAGGUGUGGAGGAAAAAUUCCUCAGAAACUUCGAACUCUCUCCAGAUGGAUCAUUUAUGCUGCUAAUUGGAACUUCAGGUUACCUUCACUUGCUGUCCAUGAAGACAAAAGAACUGAUCAGUACUAUGAAGGUGAAUGGAAGGUGCACAGCCUCUGCUUUCACCCCAGACAGCAGUAAAAUAUACAGCUAUUCAAAGGAAGGCGAAGUUUUCAUUUGGGAUGUGAGAAGCAGAAAGAGUCUACACAAAUUUGAAGAUGAAGGUUCUUUGGAAGGAAAGUGCAUUGCUGUUUCAAAAAAUAACCAGUAUGUGGCAUGUGGUUCAUCUUCUGGAGUUGUAAAUUUAUACACUACUGAUGCCUGCCUCAAAGAAAACCGUCCUAAGCCAGUUAAGGCCAUAAUGAACCUUGUUACUUCUGCCACCUGUGUGACCUUUAAUCCCACCACAGAGAUUUUGGCAGUGGCUUCCCGUGACACUGAUGAGGCUGUCAAAUUGGUGCACCUUCCUUCAUAUACUGUAUUCUCAAACUUCCCAGUCUUCAGAAAAAAACAGAUUUAUCUUACUCAAUCUAUGGACUUCUCUCCUAGAAGUGGAUAUUUCUCUGUAGCAAAUAACAAAGGCAAAGCUUUGUUAUUUAGGCUGAAACAUUAUUCAUUUUUCUGAAAGAAGAUACAGGAGAAAAUGAACCAGUAACUGAGGUUUUGUAACCUUCAAGAUAAAACGAUGCUGACAAAAUCAAAGGAGCUUUUCCGUCAGCCUGGUUCACUUGAGGCUGGGCUGGAAAAAGCAUUUUGCUGUCUGGAGAAGCCCAGUCCCCUGGGACCUUGUUGAUGUUGGUGUUGCAGCUCAGCCCAACUUCCCAGCUUUAGCUUCAAGGUGCCCUAAACCAAGAGGACUGAGACCUGAAUUUCAGAAAUCCAGGUGCUGGAAGUGGUUUCUGACUUCACUAGAGGGCAGCUCAGCAUCACUUAUGGAACACUCUGCUGUUGGAUGAUACUGACCAGUUUGUCCUGAGACAGCUCUGCUGAUGGGAGAGGGUUUGGUUGUGGUUAGCAAGUAAUUCUCUUUUCUUAUCAUCUCUGUAUUUUAUCAUUAAGUAAAGUUUAAGUAGUGUGACUUCAUCCAUAAAAUUAUUAAAUAAUUUCAAAUGAAAGAUUUUUAAAAAGGUACAUUUUGCCUGUUACCAAAUUUCACCGAAGGUGCUGUGAAGGAUUUUAAUGCUGUUUAAUCUAAUGCUCUACUGAGCAUUAGAUUACUUUUUGCACCAUAUGCGCUUCUCCAAUGUACCCAUUUGAAAGCAAAAUGCCCAAAUUCAGCAAUUCAAAGCCAUACAGCAAGUCAUUGACAGGUCUGGGGUUAGAAUUUGGGAAUUACUGGGUCCUGGACUUGUUUAGUUUAGCUGAACACAAGGAAUUCCUGCUGUUUUUUCCAGCUCAUCUUGCUGACCUCUGGUUGUAAGAGGUCAAAAUUGGAUGGAGCAGGGGAGUAAAUGGAAAAGGUGUCAUAAAACCGAGGUUCUAUUAGCUCUUGUAUCACUGGAAAUGGCUUCAAAUAGUGGCAGAAAGAAAGAAAAGGGUAAACAUUUAUUUCUUGCAAGAUGUGUGAUGCAAGUUGCAAAUUUUAAGCUUUGCUGAGUAACUGCCCUGCAGGAAAGUUUAAGCUUUGUACUAAAUAAAUUAAUUCUUGCUGCUGCAUAUUUAUAUUCUGGAAGACACAGUUUAUUGCCCCAUCAAAUGUAAAAUAGGGAAGACUUGCUCUGAGAAAUAAAGGAAACCUCAAGGUACCAGUUGCAUUCUGUAGUGGGUUUUGAGCAAUGACACUUUCCUGUACUUAGCAGGUCGUGAAAGUUGGAUGAUAGACAAGAAGCUGAAACCACUACUUGUGUGUCUGGAGAUACUUAUUUGGAAAGGUGAAUUACUGUAAAGUACACUUGCUCUGAAAAGGUCAGCUGUUUAUCGGUUUGCCAAGAGUUAAAAGUACUUAAGCUUCUGACCUAUUUAAAAUUUCUGUGUUUAAUUCUUUUUGAUCCUACCAUGGCUUUUUUUCACCCUGCAUGGCUUUUUGUUCCCCAGCACUGCUAAGCUCCAGUUCUUUUAAUGAAUUAUUUCUCUGCUUUUCCUCUCCUUCCAUUUUCCUUGGUAAAAUAAAUUGUAUUGAUGUAGCCCAUGAAAUAUUUAUCAUGGUACCCUUUCCCUUUCAGGCUGUGAUCUUGUCUGAUUUGGUAAAAGUGUUAUAGGUAAUAAAUUAUAAAGCCAAAUUAUUAAUUAAUAAAAAUAGAUUUUAUUUCGUGACCGAGAUACAGUCUCCAAUAGCCACAAUGAAAAGGGACAUCGUUGAGCCUGGGUUCGGUGCUGGGUGAACUCUGAUACAACCUCUAUCACAUUGGAUCUCCCCUCUUCACGAAUUCCAUUUCGUCGGGUUAGCUUAUAUACAGUUUUUCUUGCCCGAGGCAGAAUUCCUCUGUAGAGAACAUUUUAAGCAGACACUGGUCUGAGAGACCUGCUUGCACAACCCUGCAUGCGUGCCUGCUAGCAGAGAUGUGCUAGCAGAGAUGUGCUGCCCUUGGACAGACAAUAUAAAGACACUUGCCAAGAUGUGCCCAAGAAAAAGGGAUGUGAAGCAGGAUGUUCUAGGGAUGUAAAAAGAAGAGAUGGGGCAAGAUGUUCUACUAACACUUUUGUCAAGAUAUGCUAUGUUAUGAAUGAGUGUCAAAAUUCAUAUUUAUUAGAGUAGAGGAAUAGAUUCAGAAUAGUAUAAAAUAAGGUAGAUAGAUAUUAAAGUAAAAAGGGAUAGAAGGAGAGUAACGUCUGGACAUGUUCUCAGGGAAAUACCCAAGAAAAGUCAGUCUGCAGCAAAACACCAACACAUACCAUACCAAUAGACUCUAUUUACAUGUAAAACACAACAGGGACAGUUGGUUUCACGAUUGCAGCCACACAGGGAAUUACGCCAUCAGCAGCACACCUGGAUCCCCCGACUGAAGGGAGGGAACACACUGCUUAGAAUUUUAAAACAGUUCUGGGAAACCUCUUGGUUUGCAAAAGAGAUUUCCAGUAAGAACUGAGUAUCGGAAUUCAGAGUGAUGAUAAGGAUAUCUCUCUCGGGAUGUGACUGUGUAUUGUUAAGAUUAAUCCUGUCUAGCACAAGACCAGAAGUCGAUGAAUUAUUCCCGAAGACAUCGAGGACAAGACCACCUCCCAUCAGAUACCAUUCUACUGGACCGGAGAAACCUUUGAAACUUGUUUGGUUAUGAAAAGGACAAUGGACUUCCUAGCCCGCGGCAAGAAAAAUGGGAUAAAAAGACCUACAUGGAGAAAGCUCGGUGUGCUUGCUACACUCCGAAGCUGCCAGUGCUUGGAGCUGUUCAGCGCGACACCCAGGGUCUAUUCCCGGGCUAGACUCUGUCCGAUCCGUGGCUUACCGAAAUUUUGUCAAUUUGCGCGAAAUAAAUUUUGUACUUUGUUUUUAUAUCAUAAUUUGGCUCUGGCAAAUUAUUGAUAAAAUCAAAUUGGCAAUCUUAUCCACAACAUGCUACAUGACCAGAGAUAUGUUAGCUCUUUGCUUUGUAACCAAUCAAAUAUAUUCCCACAUCGCUGAACCCUGCAUUACCACAUAAAUGUACCCUCAGAUUUGCAAUAAA